rnacentral:rRNA from 1 species
UACGGCUCAGUAACACGUGGAUAACCUGCCCUUAGGACUGGCAUAACCCCGGGAAACUGGGGAUAAUUCCGGAUAGUUCAUGGUAGCUGGAAUGCUCCAUGAUCGAAAGCUAUUGCGCCUAAGGAUGGGUCUGCGGUCUAUCAGGUAGUAGUGGGUGUAAUGUACCUACUAGCCGACGACGGAUACGGGUUGUGGGAGCAAGAGCCCGGAGAUGGAUUCUGAGACAUGAAUCCAGGCCCUACGGGGCGCAGCAGGCGCGAAAACUUUACAAUGCGGGAAACCGCGAUAAGGGGACACCGAGUGCCAGCAUCUUAUGUUGGCUGUCCGCAUGUAUAAAUCACAUGUGUUAGCAAGGGCCGGGCAAGACCGGUGCCAGCCGCCGCGGUAACACCGGCGGCCCGAGUGGUGGCCACUAUUAUUGGGUCUAAAGGGUCCGUAGCCGGUUUGGUCAGUCUUCCGGGAAAUCUGACGGCUUAACCGUUAGGCUUUCGGGGGAUACUACCAGGCUUGGGACCGGGAGAGGUAAGAGGUACUACGGGGGUAGGAGUGAAAUCUUGUAAUCCUCGUGGGACCACCAGUGGCGAAGGCGUCUUACCAGAACGGGUCCGACGGUGAGGGACGAAAGCUGGGGGCACGAACCGGAUUAGAUACCCGGGUAGUCCCAGCCGUAAACUAUGCUCGCUAGGUGUCAGGGACGGUGCGACCGUUUCUGGUGCCGCAGGGAAGCCGUGAAGCGAGCCACCUGGGAAGUACGGUCGCAAGGCUGAAACUUAAAGGAAUUGGCGGGGGAGCACUACAACGGGUGGAGCCUGCGGUUUAAUUGGACUCAACGCCGGAAAACUCACCGGGGGCGACGGCAAUAUGUAGGUCAAGACUAAAGACUUUACCAGAAUCGCUGAGAGGAGGUGCAUGGCCA